CCUACGGGUGGCAGCAGUGGGGGAUAUUGCACAAUGGGGGCAACCCUGAUGCAGCGACGCCGCGUGAGCGAUGGAGUACUUCGGUAUGUAAAGCUCUGUCAGCAGGGAAGAGAAUGACGGUACCUGACCAAGAAGCCCCGGCAAAAUACGUGCCAGCAGCCGCGGUAAUACGCAGGGGGCAGGCGUUAGCCGGAUGUAUUGGGUUAAAGGGGUGCGCAGGGGGAGGUGCAAGUCAGCGGGAAAAUUGCGGGGCUAAACCCCGUAGUGCCGUUGAAACUGCAUCCCUUGAGUGCGAAAGAGGUAUGCGGAAUGCGUGGUGUAGCGGUGAAAUGCAUAGAUAUCACGCAGAACUCCGAGUGCGAAGGCAGCAUACCGGCGCGCAACUGACGCUCAUGCACGAAAGCGUGGGUAUCGAACAGGAUUAGAUACCCUAGUAGUC
rnacentral:rRNA from 1 species